rnacentral:rRNA from 1 species
CCUACGGGAGGCAGCAGUAAGGAAUAUUGGUCAAUGGACGCAAGUCUGAACCAGCCAUGCCGCGUGAAGGAUUAAGGUCCUCUGGAUUGUAAACUUCUUUUAUCUGGGACGAAAAAAGGCGAUU